rnacentral:lncRNA from 1 species
GUUCAUGACAACCUAAAAAUUUUGAUUGGAAAAUGCAUAUAAGAUGAGGGGGUGGGAAAAUGGAAAUUAGUGGCUUUUUUGCAGUUCUGUCUGUUAGUUUUGCUCUGGCUGGGUCUCUUUUGUUUAAACAAUUAUAAUCAGCUGAAAGUGGUCUACAAAAAAACCAGGAAGGAAACGUAUUAUAGCCUUGUUGUGGCUAUGAAAGGCAAAAGAAAGAUACCUAUAAAAAGUGUAUUGACUAGUUGGAAGAAACUCCACAUUGUCGAUGCAUAAUAAGAUAUUACUUUAUAAACAAAUAUCAAGACCUAGGAAUGGAACCUGGAUAAUAUAGUCAUCAAGAAGAUAGCAGGAGGUCAUGAGCAACAACAACUUCAUAAGUAUGAGAAUAUUGAGGAAAUCCAGCUCCUCGAUAUCUACUACUGGACAAACUAGAAGAUUGAAGAGGACAAAGCCUUUUGAACUAGUUUGAGUGAUAGGUGAUAGUGAAAAGCAGAGCGUAGUGCUUGUGUGCCUGUGUAUGUUAGAAUAGUGCACGAUCUUGUUAGAUUAGAUAAGAGACGCUAUAGGGUAAGCUCUUCAUUUUAAGGAACAGUAGUAAUUUAGGUUAAAUUAAAAUUGCUCAUUGGUCAGUUAUGACCAGAUUGUAAUUCUCUGAUGUUUGGCAAAAAGGGCUGAAGUCAGAAUUGCACAUCAAUAAUGUUUUGAUGAUUUCUGGACCAUAAAAAAAGUGUUGCAGACUUAAACUGUAUGUACCAAUAAAAAGAGCCGAUUUUUCUGGUCCAGAAAUCAUCAAAACAUUAUCGAUGUGCAAUUCUGACUUAAGCCCUUUUUCCCAAACAUCAGAGAAUUGCAAUGUACAAUUCAAUACAAAUGAAUCAUCAUCGUAGUGAUGAUUAUGGAAAAAAAUAUAUAUAUAUAUAGAAAUAUAUAUAUUUUGUGCAAUAAAAAUGUUUAUAUUUA